rnacentral:rRNA from 1 species
UACGUAGGCAGCAAGCGUUGUUCGGAAUUACUGGGCGUAAAGCGUGCGCAGGCGGUUGUGCAAGACAGAUGUGAAAUCCCCGGGCUCAACCUGGGAACUGCAUUUGUGACUGCACGGCUGGAGUGCGGCAGAGGGGGAUGGAAUUCCGCGUGUAGCAGUGAAAUGCGUAGAUAUGCGGAGGAACACCGAUGGCGAAGGCAAUCCCCUGGGCCUGCACUGACGCUCAUGCACGAAAGCGUGGGGAGCAGACAGG